UUCUCAAGCGUCUUAGUCUUUUGAACUUGAGUGCGCUGGAGUACAUAAGCAAUGAUGGUAGUGACUUUUCCUCUUCUCCCCUAAAAAAUCUCUGGCUUGAUAAAUUGCCUAAGUUGAAGGGAUGGUCGAGGAUAAGGGAAACAGUAACAGUAGCGCAUGAGCCACAUCAUCAUCUUCCAUUAUUCCCAUCAUUUCCUUGCCUUUCUAUUUUGUAUAUUACUGAUUGCCCUAUGAUGUCUCUAAUACCAGACGUAGCACAAAAGAGCGAAACAACACCCUUCUCUUCAUCCUCCUUUUCCGGUCUCUCCAAAUUGAAGUCUCUUCGUCUUCAAGGAUUAAAGGAACUUGAAUCUCUUCCGGAAGAGUGGCUGCAAAACCUCCCUUCUCUUGAGACUUUAAAGAUUUGGAGCUGUCCGAAAUUGCGAAUAUCUAUGUCUCCCCUCUUUGGACAUCUCACCGCUCUGAAAACCUCUGUAUUGGGGGCUGCAAGGAACUUAUCAGCAAUGAGAAUGAAGAUGGCGCACAUUGCCUUGGACCUACAAGACUUGGUCAUCUAUCUAUAGUAGAUCUUCCAAACGUGGUUUCUCUCCCAAGAGAGCUUACAGAUGUUACCACUCUGCAAGGGCUUCAAAUUAUUGAUUGCCCUAGUUUGGUGUGUUUGCCGGAUUGGAUUGGCGACCUCACUUCUCUUCAAGAGCUUGGGAUCCUCAAUUGUCCCAAUUUAAUAUCACUGCCCGAAGGUAUGCGCCGCCUCACCUCUUUACGUCAUUUGUGGAUUGCAAAAUGUCCUCGCUUGGAGGAAAGAUGUGAACAAGAAACGGGAGAGGAUUGGCCCAAGAUUGCUCACAUCCCAAACUUUCGAAAUGGCGGCAAUGGUAAUUAUUGGGAAUGGAAAGAAAGCCAGGAUAGCCAACUUGUUCAGGAAGUCAGGAUGGCUUUUGAAGAAUAGACACUUCUUCAGACCUUGCUGAGAAUCAGAUUUGUGCAAGGCUCUAACAUUUCCAAAACAAUUGAAGCGCUGACAUAGUGACAUACCAAUUCGAAUCUUCUUCACUCUGCAACUGUGCAAUAAGUUGACAAGUCGGGAAUUAGAUCUCAUUGCUUUCAUCGUUACAAUUGCUCAUUCCACGAUUGAUUUCUUUACUUAAACCAACCACAAUAUCGAUAUCAUCUUCUAAAAGAUCGCAAGGUGCUGAAAGUUGAAGCAGUAGAUGCGAGUGGAACUUGACCGAAGUUUUUUUGUGAAAAGGUUUCAUGCUUCCACUUCCUCUUGCCUUGGAACUAUGCCGUUUUCAGUUAACUCGCUCCUUACUCCAAAACUCUCAUUUCACAACUGAGGCGAAGAAGGGAUCUAUAAAAUGAAGCUGUUUUCCCUCCGAAGGAAACCCUGGGAAAGAGGUAGAGCUGAAAGUGGUGCCUCCUCAAGAAUCGUUUGGGUAUUUAUCCUGAUUUCACCAUGUUUUUUAAAAUGUGUUUGAUAGCUUUGUUUGGAUUAGAAGCAUGAUCUUGAUAUUUAAAUCUCGAGAUGCACACAUUGAUAGUGAAACUGGCCACAAUUUAAGCAAAAGUGAGAGACAUGAAUCAUUUUAAGGCAUACAAACAUGUAAAAUAACAGACGUUAACACCCUAAAAUUUUGAAAUUGC